rnacentral:rRNA from 1 species
ACGAACGCUGGCGGCAUGCCUAAUACAUGCAAGUCGAGCGGUGCAGCAAUGCAUAGCGGCGGACGGGUGAGUAACGCGUGGGCAACCUGCCUCAAAGAUUGGGAUAACACCCCGAAAGGGGUGCUAAUACCGAGUGUGCUCUAGGUGCCGCAUGGCAUAUAGAGGAUAGGAGAAAUCCGUUUUGAGAUGGGCCCGCGUCUGAUUAGCUAGUUGGUAGGGUAGCGGCCUACCAAGGCGACGAUCAGUAGCCG